AGCCACCAGCGAGAUUCGAACUCGCGACCCCUGGAUUACGAGACCAGUGCUCUAACCUCUGAGCUAUGGUGGC
rnacentral:tRNA from 1 species